rnacentral:rRNA from 1 species
GAAGUUGACCGCCUGGGGAGUACGGUCGCAAGAUUAAAACUCAAAGGAAUUGACGGGGACCCGCACAAGCGGGGGAUGAUGUGGAUUANUUCGAUGCAACGCGAAAAACCUUACCUACCCUUGACAUGUCUGGAAUGCCGAAGAGAUUUGGCAGUGCUCGCAAGAGAACCGGAACACAGGUGCUGCAUGGCUUGUCGUCAGCUCGUGUCGUGAGAUGUUGGGUUAAGUCCCGCAACGAGCGCAACCCUUGUCAUUAGUUGCUACGAAAGGGCACUCUAAUGAGACUGCCGGUGACAAACCGGAGGANGNUGGGGAUGACGUCAAGUCCUCAUGGCCCUUAUGGGUAGGGCUUUCACACGUCAUACAAUGGUCGGGACAGAGGGUCGCCAACCCGCGAGGGGAAGCCAUUCCCAGAANCCCGAUCGUAGUCCGGAUCGCAGUCUGCAACUCGACUGCGUGANGUCGGAAUCGCUAGUANUCGCGGAUCAGCAUGUCGCGGUGAAU